rnacentral:misc_RNA from 1 species
GAUGAAGAACGUAGCGAAAUGCGAUACGUAAUGUGAAUUGCAGAAUUCAGUGAAUCAUCGAAUCUUUGAACGCAUAUUGCGCUCUCUGGUAUUCCGGAGAGCAUGCUUGUUUGAGUAUCAGUAAACACCUCAACUUCCAUAUCUUUUUUGAAAUGGGAGUUGGACUUGAGUGAUCCCAACGCUUUUCCUCACCGAAAAGUGGCGGGUUACUUGAAAUGCAGGUGCAGCUGGACUUUUCUCUGAGCUAUAAGCAUAUCUAUUUAGUCUGCCUAAAAAACAGAUUAUUACCUUUGCUGCAGCUAACAUAAAGGAGAUUAGUUCUUGUGCUGACUGAUGCAGGAUUCACAAAGACAGCUUCGGCCGACUUUGUAAACUCGAUCUCAAAUAAAGUAAGACUACCCGCUGAACUUAAGCAUAUCAAUAAGCGGAGGA